UGGGAAAAUGUCCUCGGGUGAGGAUUAACACAACAACAGCAACAACAACAAAGAAUCAGCCGGAGAGCUUGUUAACACACUGUUUCCUGGAGAUUCUGAAUCAAUAGAUGGUGUGGGGCCCAUGGAUUUUCCUUGGUGAGAGCCAUGCUUCCUCUCAGAGGCCCACACUCUGAGAACCACGGUGUUGCACUGUCCCAGACUUGCGCAGCUAGAAACGUGCAAAAUUCAGAAGCCCGGUGAGAAUGAAUUAUCACCACUCGAAGGCAACACCUCCAACGUGGAGAAGAUUUACGCGGAAUGCCUGUGCAUUGCCAGUUAAAGGACCCACGCGUUCCUUCUGGAUGUUGCUGGCCGAGCCGGGGUGCCACGUGACACUUAAACUUUAUAACAGCGAGUCCGGAGUUGUGGCCUUUCCGCCUUUGCCCUUCUCAAGCUCCUCUUGAAAUGUGCUUUCUGACAAGAAUCUCAGGCCUUGCAAAGGGCAACCAGGAAGCAAGA